GACGAACGCUGGCGGCGUGCUUAACACAUGCAAGUCGAACGGAAAGGCCCUGCUUUUGUUGGGUGCUCGAGUGGCGAACGGGAGAGUAACACGUGAGUAACCUGCCCUUGACUUUGGGAUAACUUCAGGAAACUGGGGCUAAUCUCAGAUAGGAGCUCCUGCUGCAUGGUGGGGGUUGGAAUGGUUCGGCGGUUGGGUCUGGUCUCGGGGCUUAUCAGCUUGUUGGUGGGGUUGUGGCUUACCAAGCCUUUGACGGGUAGCCGGCCUGACAGGGUGACCGGCCAGACUGGAGGUGAGACAUGGGCGAGACUCGUACGGGAGGCAGCGGGGGGGAGUAUUGGACAAUGGGAGUGAGGCUGACGCAGAGACGCAGGGGGAGCGAUGGAGGCCUUAGGGUUGGGAACCUCUUUCGGCAGUGAAGGAGGCCUGCCUAGUUUGUGGGUGGGUUGACGGUAGCUGGAGAAGAAGCGCCGGCUAAAUACGUG
rnacentral:rRNA from 1 species